rnacentral:rRNA from 1 species
GACGAACCGUGCGAACGUUGUUCGGAUUCACUGGGCUUAAAGGGCGCGUAGGCGGGCGACCAAGUCAGGGGUGAAAUCUUUCGGCUCAACCGGAAAAGUGCCCCUGAUACUGGCCGCCUCGAGGGAGGUAGGGGCAUGUGGAACUUCCGGUGGAGCGGUGAAAUGCGUAGAUAUCGGAAGGAACGCCGGUGGCGAAAGCGGCGAGCUGGACCACUACUGACGCUGAAGAACGAAAGCUAGGGGAGCAAACAGG